UCAAAAUAUCAAUAAUGGACCCGGUCAUUUUUUUCUUAACGCCUUCAAUCAUAAUUCAAAAAAAUAAUGAGGAGGAGGAAGGUAGUGGCGGGGUCCGCUUAUUGUCUUAAGUAAUUGAAUUGAUAAUUGUUGGUUGAUUUUUGUGGAAUUGCCUAUAUAUUGAGUGCUUUGUAAGUAUGGCAAGAAUACAAAGAAAGAAAGAAAAAUUGAGGAAAGAUACAGAGAGUCUUGAUGCAUAGAGAGAGGAUCGAGACUUGUGGCUUUGAUGAUUAAGCGAGGAUAAUUCUUUUUCAGUUUCAGGUACCCGAGAAUGAAUAUAGAUUGUUAGUUUCGAGCUUAAGUGGAAGAGUUGGUGUUACGAAUUUAUUUUAUUUAUUUAGAGAUUUUGUAUAUAUUUAUUUGAAAAACUCACUGUAUAAAGUUUCCAAGUCUCGGCCUCCUCUGUCCAUCUCGGCUCUAUCUGUGCUCACUCCUCUGUAUCUUUCCUCUAAUUUUCUCUUCUGUAUCCACCAAAGUCACAAAACAGAUGAAUAUAUAAAGGGAAUUCCAUCCACACAAUAUAUCUUAUAGCUCACGCCUCCAUCAAACAAUAUCAUCUCAUUUUGAACCAAAAAAACAAUCAACUGGUUCUGACACCCUUUCUUUACUCUUCAUUAUCUUCCAUAAUCCAUCAUCACCUAACAAAUAAAUCUUUCUCCAUAUAAGCCCAAAUGAAUGUCAAAAAAAAAUUUUGGCCAAAAAUCUUCUAGUGGGUCCCGCCACAAUCAUCACAAUUUAUCAUUAUUUCUACUUUGGACCAGCCCACUCAUUAUUUCUUCUUUUCACCUCUGUCUAUCAUUCCAUUAGCAUUACACACACGAUGAUGGUGGCGGGUCCCACUAGGAGAUUUUUGACCAAAUUUUUUUUGACUAUAUAUAUAUAUAUAUAUAUAUAUAUAUAUAUAUAAAACAAAGCCAAAUUGUAUAUAAACUAUACUCCCACUAACACAUCUAUGUCUCUCACAUAUUUAUGCCUAACACACUUAAGCCCAUUAUUGAAUUUCGCCACCGAAUAGCCCAAUAUUUCCGAUAAUCAAUUUUGACAAUAAAAAAUAGUAAAAAUAAAUAUAAAUUAAAAUUUUAAAAAUUUAAAUUAUAACAUCCUCCAUCACAUUAAAAAAAAUUUGGUCCAUAAAAUUCAGAUCCAAUUUAAUAAUUCUUUAUCAGAUACAAAUAUAUAAAGGCAAUCCCACUGACACAAAAUAUCUACUGAGUCGUGCCACCCUUUCCUUCUUUGGCAUUUGAGAGGUAUUGUAUAUGUGAACCCUUUCCUUCUUUGGCAUUUGAGAGGUAUUGUAUAUGUGAACCCUUUCCUUCUUUGGCAUUUAAAGAGAUAAAUCAGAUGAUUGAAGGCUAGGAUAAGGAAUAGUAAUGUAAAGAAAGAAUGGGUGGUGGGACCAGUUGAUGUUUUGUUCAAAAAGAAGAUAAAGGAUAAGGAAAAGUAUAUGUGAACUCUCGGUCCUGUGUGUCCUCUAUUUAUCUCUUUCUUUGUGCACAAAACACUCAAUAUAUAAAUGCAAAUUAGUAUGAAAUCAGUAGAUUUCAUGAAAAUUAACUUCACAAAAUAUAUAUAUAUAAAUUUUUAUUUUAUUUGGUAAAAUAUAUCUUAGUAAGUCUCGCCAAUCAAUACUUUUUCUCUCCACAUCUUCAACAACUUGCUCUCAUUCUUUCUUAUCUUCAUCAUAAAUUUUUAUUUUAUUUGGUAAAAUAUAUCUUAGUAAGUCUCGCCAAUCAAUACUUUUUCUCUCCACAUCUUCAACAACUUGCUCUCAUUCUUUCUUAUCUUCAUCACACUAUAUAUAUAUAUAUAUAUAUAUAUAUAUAUAAUAUAACAAAAUCAAAUCAAACUCUUUAAAUAUUUCUUAAUAGACCCCACUAAAAUCCUUACCAUUCCUUUUUCUUUUUGCCCUUUUAGCUGGUAGCAAGCAUCACCAUCAACAUGCUAUAUAUAUAUAUAUAUAUAUAUAUAUAUAUAAUAUGAACUAUGCACUUCCACAAAAAUCAAAUCGCCUUCCGUCCAAAUUUUCUUAUGAACUAUACACUUAUACAAAAAUCAAACCAUCUACCGUCCAAAUUUUCAUAAAAAUAAAGAUUUACAAAUCUAACAAAUCUAACAUCACUAAUAAUUAAUCUCGACAAUUAAAAAUAAAUAUAAAUUAAAAUCUUAGCUUAUUUUAAUAAAUACAUAAUUACUAAAAGAUAUUUAAGGAGUUUGAUUUGAUGUUAGUAAUGAUCAUAAAUAUAUAUAUUUCCUGAUAAAGAUAAGAAGGAAUGAGAGCACCUGAAAGUGAAGAGAAAAGGUAUUGAUUAGGCGGGCCGAGAUAUCUUGUCAAAACUCUUUUGACUUUAACUAUUAUGCAUGUGGCGAUAAUAUGUAUUUGAUUUAUUUCAAAUUACAGAAUGUAUUUGAAAUUCCUCAAUUCAAAUACCAUUAUGUAAUUUGGACCAUUUUUAAUUAUAUUUUAAUUUUAUAUUUAUUUUCAUCAUUUUUAAUCGUCAAGAACACCAAACAGAUACCAAUACAUAUAAGGUAAUAUUCACCGACACACUUCACAUGACAGCUCAGCAUAUAAAAUAUUAAAGAUCAAAAUAUUAAUAGUAGACCCCGUCACCUUCUUCUUGGCACCUUCAUCCUUCAGAUUCAAAAAAACAUAAUAAGGAAAAGGGGGUAAUGGUGGAUCCACUAAUGGUUAUUGUCUUGAGUAAUUGAAUUGAUAAUUGUUGGUUGGUAUUUGUUGGGUGUUAGUUGCCUAUAUAUUGAGUGCUUUGUGACUAUGGUUAAGUAUACAAAGAAAGAAAGAAAAAUUUAGGAAAGACUCAGAGCCGAGAUGCAGAGAGAGAGAGAGUGCCGAGAUUUGUGACUUUGAUGAUUCAGUAAGGAUAAUUCUUUUUUAGAGUAAGAUUCUUUAUAAUUUGAAUGAAUUGCGUGAUUUUAUCUCAAAUAUUUUAGGAUUGUUAUUUUGCUCAAAUUGCAUAUGUAUUUUGUUUAAAUACAUAUCUAUAUUUUGUAAACCUGCUUGAAAUUUUUGUUAUGAUUUUUCUUAUUUUUUUUUACAGAGAGUUGUCAUCUCACCACCCUCUAGUUUCAGGUAUUAAGAAUGAACGUGAAUUGUUAGUUUUGAAUUUAAGUGGAAGAGUUGGUGUUACGAAUUUAUUUUA